UAGAAAAGUAUUUAAAAUCAAAAUAAAGUCUAAUUUGCAAUUAGGAAUUGUAUUAACCUUUUCUAU
rnacentral:tRNA from 1 species